rnacentral:rRNA from 1 species
GACGAACGCUGGCGGCGUGCUUAACACAUGCAAGUCGAACGGAAAGGCCCUGCUUUUGUGGGGUGCUCGAGUGGCGAACGGGUGAGUAACACGUGAGUAACCUGCCCUUGACUUUGGGAUAACUUCAGGAAACUGGGGCUAAUACCGGAUAGGAGCUCCUGCUGCAUGGUGGGGGUUGGAAAGUUUCGGCGGUUGGGGAUGGACUCGCGGCUUAUCAGCUUGUUGGUGGGGUAGUGGCUUACCAAGGCUUUGACGGGUAGCCGGCCUGAGAGGGUGACCGGCCACAUUGGGACUGAGAUACGGCCCAGACUCCUACGGGAGGCAGCAGUGGGGAAUAUUGCACAAUGGGCGGAAGCCAGAUGCAGAAACGCCGCGUGCGGGAUGACGGCCUUCGGGUUGUAAACCGCUUUCGCCUGUGACGAAGCGUGAGUGACGGUAAUGGGUAAAGAAGCACCGGCUAACUACGUG